rnacentral:tRNA from 1 species
AGGGGUAUGGUGGAAUGGCAGACACGCUAGGCUUAGAAUCUAGUGGCAAUAGUCGUAGGAGUUCGAGUCUCCUUGCCCCUACCA